UACGUAGGUGGCAAGCGUUGUCCGGAUUUACUGGGCGUAAAGAGCGCGCAGGCGGUCGUUCAAGUCGCGUGUGAAAGCCCCCGGCUCAACUGGGGAGGGUCACGCGAUACUGAUCGACUCGAAGGCAGGAGAGGGUAGUGGAAUUCCCGGUGUAGUGGUGAAAUGCGUAGAUAUUGGGAAGAACACCGGUGGCGAAGGCGGCUCUCUGGACCGAGACUGACGCUGAGGCGCGAAAGCGUGGGGAGCAAACAGG
rnacentral:rRNA from 1 species